rnacentral:rRNA from 1 species
GAUGAACGCUGGCGGCGUACCUAAUACAUGCAAGUCGAGCGAACGGACGAGAAGCUUGCUUCUCUGAUGUUAGCGGCGGACGGGUGAGUAACACGUGGAUAACCUACCUAUAAGACUGGGAUAACUUCGGGAAACCGGAGCUAAUACCGGAUAAUAUUUUGAACCGCAUGGUUCAAAAGUGAAAGACGGUCUUGCUGUCACUUAUAGAUGGAUCCGCGCUGCAUUAGCUAGUUGGUAAGGUAACGGCUUACCAAGGCAACGAUGCAUAGCCGACCUGAGAGGGUGAUCGGCCACACUGGAACUGAGACACGGUCCAGACUCCUACGGGAGGCAGCAGUAGGGAAUCUUCCGCAAUGGGCGAAAGCCUGACGGAGCAACGCCGCGUGAGUGAUGAAGGUCUUCGGAUCGUAAAACUCUGUUAUUAGGGAAGAACAUAUGUGUAAGUAACUGUGCACAUCUUGACGGUACCUAAUCAGAAAGCCACGGCUAACUACGUG